GGGCUGGCAGUGGCAGGCAACAUGUGUUCCAGUUCCACUCCGGUUGAAGUUUUCUCAACUUUGUUUGCAGGAUGACCAAAUUUCGAAAAGAUAAGAGCACCACAUCUCCCAUGUUCUUCAAGCACUGUGGUUUCUCCUUAGACCAGGACAAUCUUCCCUGAGUGACACCAGGAGCUUCACCAUAGGAGACCCCAAAAGGGAGUUGUGCCUUAAAGUCACGCCUUGUAAGAUAUCAUCACAAAGCUGACCUUGUUGGGGGAAGGCUCUGGGUGACGCUGAGGACACAUUGUUGACGGAUCAUGACCUCUGACAUCCUCAGGCACCGCAAAGAUGCUGCUCUUCGAGGACUUCCAGUAUUUCUCUGUGAGGACCCCAAGGAACUUUUCAAAGAGUGCCUUGAGGCCGAUGCAGAUGGUGUGGCUCUCCAGGGUGUGGCUGUGGGCAUUCUAUAUGUUCGUGAAGACUGUGGUCCAGGUACAUCUACGCGAGUGCAAAACAUUGCCGUCAUCCUCGAGGAGAGUUGUCUUGCAAGAUAUCCCAGAUACCCCAACUGCUCUGGCAUACCUUUUUGGCAUACCUUACCUUUUUUUUCCUUUAUGCCCUGAAUAUCUCCUACCCAAAGGCUCUGAAGUAUACCUUCGAUACUUUGCAAAAUGUCUUCAUGGAGAUUUGUCUCAAAUGUACACGGCGUGUACAAUCUCUGAAAAACAAACUGGCACUGUAAGACUGACGGCGAGGCUGUAAUGUCAAGUUCCCAUGACUGCCUAUGUUCUCACAAUGUUGGAGUAUGGCUAUAUUUCUGAGGGAAAAAAUGUGGAUGACAUUUGGACUUAGCUUAUACUGUAAGACUGAAGACGAGGCUGUAUUUUGAAAUGUGUGGUGGUUACAUCAAGUUCCUUUGAUGGCCUAUGCUCCCACGGUGUUGGAGUAUGACUACCUUGUAUUUCUGAGGGGAAAAUGUGGAAGACAUUUUAACAAACUUGCACUUGAAGAGUGAAUACAAGGUUGUAUUUUGAGAUGCAUACUGGUUACGUCAAGUUCCCCUUGAUGACCCAUCUUCUCACAGUGUGGAGUAUCGCUGAGUUUUACCUCCUUACUUGGGCUAUACUAGCCUGGUUCUCACCGAUGGUGCGGGUGUGUACACAAACCAGCAUCUGGUAGCGUUGCCAUUAACAUGCUCUUCUGGAGUCGAAAAUAAAUGGUGCAUUUAUUGCAAUUCACCACCAACAUAUUUCAACUCGCCACCAACAAAUUCCUCCAAAAAUGUUUUUGGUUGAUCUCUAGAGUCAAUGUGAGCAGCCGUUGAUCUUUAAGCAACAAGUGCUCCGUUUAUUCUCUACUCGAGAAGAGUGUGUUAAGGGCAGCGCUAUGAGACGGAUGUGUGUGUAGCUCCACUCCACCGGGGUGCUCCGGAGCUACACUUGCGCACCGUCGGUGAGAGGCAGGCUAGGGGUAUACUGGCCUUCAAAGGCAAAGUGCAGUAAUUGAGUUCAAACUGAGAAGGGUGUUCAUUACACCACCUUUUAUGUUGAAAAAAAGACUAGCGGUCCAAAUGUGUCCCGUUUUCAGAGAUUUUGCCAUGUCAAAUUUGAAGUAACUACAACAUCCAGUCUUAGGCCUUUUUCUCAGUUUGAAUGUUAAUGUAAUUACUGCACUUUCCCUUUGUAUGGCGGUAUAGCAAUUUCCCAUCAUUAUCUUUUCUUUUACAUUAUGUUUUAUUUACCAGACAUGUUAAACCUUAUGUUACUUAGGUGCAGGGCCAUGUUCUGAAUUGGCAAAUGUGUAUUUAGGCUGUGUAUGGGUCAAUCAGUGUCUCAAACUUGUAGCUUGUGUUUCAGAACUAGUAGAGAGCAAGUAGAUAUGAAUGGCAUGACACCCCAAUUACAACUGCACUUAAUAUUGCAGCUUGGUCUGUGAAACCAAAUUUAAGUUCUGAAGGGCCACAUUUUGUUUAAAGACACUAAACCCCAUUUAGCCUUCUAUUUCCUGCUUAAAAAGACAGAAAAUGGUUAUGCUCUUAAAUUGUAUGAAUACUUUUGAUUCUGUUCAAAAGUACUUGUUGAAAUAAAAACAAAAUCAAAGUGUGAAGUUUGUUGUACAUUAUUGAAAUGUUGUGAAUGUCUAUUCAGCAAAAGGACUAAUCUGUGCUGGUAUAAUGAGGAAUUGAAAAUGGACUUAAUUAAGAAUUCUUAAUAAACUUUACAGUGUUAUCAUAGUUGAGAUUAUCAUGGGAACAUCGUUGGCAGAACGUGCCGACUGUUCAGUAGAAAGACGAAUUUGUGUUGGUAGAAUGAGGAAAUGAAAAUUGACUGAAUUAAGAAUUCUCAAUAAAUAUGACGGUGUAUUCAUAAUUGAGAUUAUCAUGGGAACAUCGUUGGCAGAACGUGCCGACUGUUCAGUAGAAAGACGAAUUUGUGUUGGUAGAAUGAGGAAAUGAAAAUUGACUGAAUUAAGAAUUCUCAAUAAAUAUGACGGUGUAUUCAUAAUUGAGAUUAUCAUGGGAACAUCGUUGGCAGAACGUGCCGACUGUUCAGUAGAAAGACGAAUUUGUGUUGGUAGA